rnacentral:lncRNA from 10 species
ACAAAAUGAAAAUUUUAGGAAAAGAAGCACUGUAGUGCCAAAUUGUCAUAGUGAGGAAAACAUAUAUGGGUGCACAAAGAAGAGGUCUUAUGAGCAUAUGAAGAGAUAGCAACCACCCACAAGCCAAGAAAACAGCUCUCAGAAGGAAACCUACUUUGCUAGAACUCUGAUCCUGGAUGUCCCACCCUCCGGAACUGAGGCUGUUUAAGCCAUGCAGUCUAUAAUAUUUUGUUAGGGAAGCCUGAGCUGAAUAAUAUAGGAGUGAGACUCGGAAUAGAAAAGGGCUCUGCCACAAAUCCAAACUGCUGAGCAAGUGGCUUUGCUAAUUGACCCAUACUGACAUUAGUGGUAUACAUUAAGGAACCUGUGAAAUCGGAAUAUAAGUUAUGGGAAAAGACGUCAUAUGUAGAAUCACAAUAAAGACUUGUAGAGU